AUUGAACGCUGGCGGCAUGCCUUACACAUGCAAGUCGAGCGGCAGCGCGGGGGGCAACCCUGGCGGCGAGCGGCGCACGGGUGAGUAAUACAUCGGAACGUGUCCUUUCGUGGGGGAUAACCAGUCGAAAGAUUGGCUAAUACCGCAUGAGAUCUCACGAUGAAAGCGGGGGAUCCGAGGGUAACUUCGGGCCUCGCGCGAUUGGAGCGGCCGAUGUCGGAUAGCUAGUUGGCGGGGUAAAAGCCCACCAAGGCGACGAUCCGUAGCUGGUUUGAGAGAACGACCAGCCACACUGGGACUGAGACACGGCCCAGACUCCUACGGGAGGCAGCAGUGGGGAAUUUUGGACAAUGGGGGCAACCCUGAUCCAGCCAUGCCGCGUGUGUGAAGAAGGCC
rnacentral:rRNA from 1 species